rnacentral:tRNA from 1 species
CCGCUCUUAGUUUAAUGGAAUGAUAGCUUGUCAUGCUAGGGGAGGCCGUGUCUGACGGCUAGAUCGGG